rnacentral:misc_RNA from 1 species
UGUUGUGGAAAAUGGUGAAGUUAUAGCAUUGCUGGAUAUCACAAAAUGCCUUUUUGAUGCUAUAUCAAGGAUGGAGAAGGCUGCAGAACAGGGAAGUGCAAUUGCUGCAGCUGUUGAAGGAGUUGAACGACAGUGGGGGAACAACUUCUCGGCUCCAUCUGCAUUUAUAGAAACCCUGCGGGAGCUGAUAUUCAAGCCCUCUUUGUCAGCCAUUGUUUCUGAAAAUACCAAGGUAGCAAUAGUAUGCCCCUCAGAUCCUGUGUAUGUUGCUGCUAAGAAGAUGCGAGAAUUACGGGUCAACUCAGCUUUAAUUACUGUUGGAAACAAAAUUCAAGGGAUAUUAACCUCAAAAGAUAUUCUUAUGCGUGUUGUAGCACAAAAUCUAUCCCCUGAGCUGACACUGGUGGAAAAGGUAAUGACCUCAAACCCUGAAUGCGCAACACUAGAGACAACGAUA